rnacentral:lncRNA from 1 species
AAAAAAUCAAAAAUAAUCAACCGUGCAUGAUAUAUGUGUCAAAAAAGUUAACAAUCCAACUGGAUAGGAAAAACGGAAUAUCUUAGAUAAAACUAAUACUCUCAAUUUGUGUUGGACACCUGGCUAGGGCAGAAGGGGUCUUGGCAUGCUGCUUUGAAAUUAUAAAAAUGUACAAAUAACAUAGAAUUGAGUCUCGUGAUGUCUUCCUCUAAACAUAGAACAAACGACGGAAGAACAUUUUCGUUCAUCAUCGUUUCUAAAGACAGUGAUUAUAGGGUUAAAAAAUACAUUCACAUAAAGUUCAGCUGCACUAACAUAUUUUUGAAUGAAUGAAUUUUAUUUGCAAAAGCAUAUAGAACAUGCUAUGGCAAUACAUAAUAUAUACAUAAUGUGACAAAAGACUGGUAGAUUGUAAAUAUUGUAAAUCGCAGGCUAAUGUUUCAUUAUCAUUUUUUUUUAUUAUUAAAUAUAAAACCCGAUUUCAGGGGGGAAAGUUGGUUUUGGGAAAGAAAUGCAAAGAGUUGGAAGUGUUUUGAGAAUAUACUAGUAAUGUAAUAACAUGUUCCUUUAUUAAAUGUUAAUAAACGGGUUUGUAACUGGCAUAAGAAACAACGUGGCUUCAGCUAUAAUUCUUUUUUUCUUUAUGUAUAUGCCAAUCCUAGAGGCAUUAUGUUUUUGUUCUGUGUGUCCGUUCGUCUGGUCGUCUGUCCCGCUUCAGGUUAAAGUUUUUGUCAAUUAAGGUAGUUUUAAUGAAGUUGAAGUGAAAUCAACCUGAAACUGCACAUAUGUUCCUUUUGAUAUGAUAUUUUUUAAUCAUCAUUCCGAAUUAGAGUUUUGAUCCCAAUUUUACGGUCCACUGAAUAUAGAAAAUGAUAGUGGCCGCUUCGGGUUAAGUAUUUG